GUCCACGCCCUAAACUAUGUCAACUGGUUGUUGGGAAGGUUCCUUCUCAGUAACGUAGCUAACGCGUGAAGUUGACCGCCUGGGGAGUACGGCCGCAAGGUUGAAACUCAAAGGAAUUGACGGGACCCGCACAAGCUGUGGAUGAUGUGGUUUAAUUCGAUGCAACGCGAAAACCUUACCUACCCUUGACAUGUCAAGAAUCUUGCAGAGAUGUGAGAGUGCUCGAAAGAGAACUUGAACACAGGUGCUGCAUGGCCGUCGU
rnacentral:rRNA from 1 species